rnacentral:lncRNA from 1 species
CCCAAAAGAAUUUUAUGGACCUCAAAAGGAUUUUAUGGAUCCCCCAAAGUGUUCCAGAGACCCCAAAAGGAUUUUAUGGAUCCCCCAAAAGGAUUUUAUGGACCCCAAAGUGUUCCAGAGACCCCAAAAGAAUUUUAUGGACCCCAAAAGGAUUUUAUGGAUCCCCCAAAGUGUUCCAGAGACCCCAAAAGGAUUUUAUGGAUCCCCCAAAAGGAUUUUAUGGACUCCAAAGGAUUUUGUGGACCCCAAAAGGAUUUUAUGGACUCCAAAGGAUUUUAAGGACCCCAAAAAGGAUUUUAAGGACCCCAAAAAGUUCUCCGGCCCCGAUGGAUUCUAUGGCCCCAAAGGGUUCGACAACCCCACAGCUCGAAGGUCACCGGGGUUUUAUGGCCCUGGGGUUUUAUGGCCCCGAGGUUUUAUGGCCCCCGGGGUUUUAUGGCCCCCGAGGUUUUAUGGCCCCGGGAUUUACACCCCGAUGCGUGAAAGUGCCUCCAUAAAGAUUUGGGAACUUUUAUGGCCUCGGUGCCUUCCUGGGACAGCGAGGGCGGGGUGGGAGCGGGGCGGGGGGAGAGAAAUGGGGGCGGUUCUGGGACCCCCAGGGACCCCCCUGAUCCUAUGGGACCCCCCUGAUCCUAUGGGACCCCCAGGG